rnacentral:lncRNA from 1 species
UCACUUCAUAUAUUAUUUCCAAUCAUGUUAUCAUGGAAAAUAAUUAAUAAAAAUAUUUCUGCUUACAGAAAUUAAUUACCAUAAAAUAUAAUUUGUAGUAAUUAAUAAUUCCAAAAUUAUUUCUAAUUUUUAAAGAAAUAAAUAUAUUCGUAUUUAUCGUUCACUUAUUCUCGUCAUUAAAUAAAAAAAAAUUAUACGCAAAUUUUCUUAUUUAUUUUAUUUAGGAAAUCUCGGGUUAUUACAUUCACCCUCCCUUAUAAGGAUUCCGUCCCUGGAAUCACCGCUUUAAAACUCAUACACAUAAGAGUACAUAACGCAUAUAAUCAUUGCACAUAGACCUCGAUCAAUACUUGAUCGAACUGAUCUUUAACUAUUCUCCAUAACGAUUGUCUUUCUGAUAAACAGAAUUUUGAUCAAGAAAACCAAAAUUCCUCCUUCAAAAUUUCUU